rnacentral:rRNA from 1 species
CCUACGGGUGGCAGCAGUUUCGAAUCUUUCACAAUGGGCGCAAGCCUGAUGGAGCAACGCCGCGUGGGGGAUGACGGCCUUCGGGUUGUAAACCCCUGUCACCAAGGAUAAACCGUAGUCGGUUAAUACCCGGCUGCCUGAUGUAACUUGGAGAGGAAGGAGUGGCUAACUCUGUGCCAGCAGCCGCGGUAAUACAGAGACUCCAAGCGUUAUUCGGAUUCACUGGGCGUAAAGGGUGCGCAGGCGGCCGAGUGUGUCGGAGGUGAAAUCUUGCAGCUUAACUGUAAAAUUGCCUUCGAAACUACUCGGCUAGAGUAUCGGAGAGGAUAGCGGAAUUCCAGGUGUAGCAGUGAAAUGCGUAGAUAUCUGGAGGAACACCAAUGGCGAAGGCAGCUAUCUGGACGAUUACUGACGCUCAGGCACGAAAGCAUGGGGAGCGA